CUGGAGGUAUCAGAAGUGCGAAUGCUGACAUAAGUAACGAUAAAGCGGGUGAAAAGCCCGCUCGCCGGAAGACCAAGGGUUCCUGUCCAACGUUAAUCGGGGCAGGGUGAGUCGACCCCUAAGGCGAGGCCGAAAGGCGUAGUCGAUGGGAAACAGGUUAAUAUUCCUGUACUUGGUGUUACUGCGAAGGGGGGACGGAGAAGGCUAUGUUGGCCGGGCGACGGUUGUCCCGGUUUAAGCGUGUAGGCUGGUUUUCCAGGCAAAUCCGGAAAAUCAAGGCUGAGGCGUGAUGACGAGGCACUACGGUGCUGAAGCAACAAAUGCCCUGCUUCCAGGAAAAGCCUCUAAGCAUCAGGUAACAUCAAAUCGUACCCCAAACCGACACAGGUGGUCAGGUAGAGAAUACCAAGGCGCUUGAGAGAACUCGGGUGAAGGAACUAGGCAAAAUGGUGCCGUAACUUCGGGAGAAGGCACGCUGAUAUGUAGGUGAAGUCCCUCGCGGAUGGAGCUGAAAUCAGUCGAAGAUACCAGCUGGCUGCAACUGUUUAUUAAAAACACAGCACUGUGCAAACACGAAAGUGGACGUAUACGGUGUGACGCCUGCCCGGUGCCGGAAGGUUAAUUGAUGGGGUUAGCGGUAACGCGAAGCUCUUGAUCGAAGCCCCGGUAAACGGCGGCCGUAACUAUAACGGUCCUAAGGUAGCGAAAUUCCUUGUCGGGUAAGUUCCGACCUGCACGAAUGGCGUAAUGAUGGCCAGGCUGUCUCCACCCGAGACUCAGUGAAAUUGAACUCGCUGUGAAGAUGCAGUGUACCCGCGGCAAGACGGAAAGACCCCGUGAACCUUUACUAUAGCUUGACACUGAACAUUGAGCCUUGAUGUGUAGGAUAGGUGGGAGGCUUUGAAGUGUGGACGCCAGUCUGCAUGGAGCCGACCUUGAAAUACCACCCUUUAAUGUUUGAUGUUCUAACGUUGACCCGUAAUCCGGGUUGCGGACAGUGUCUGGUGGGUAGUUUGACUGGGGCGGUCUCCUCCUAAAGAGUAACGGAGGAGCACGAAGGUUGGCUAAUCCUGGUCGGACAUCAGGAGGUUAGUGCAAUGGCAUAAGCCAGCUUGACUGCGAGCGUGACGGCGCGAGCAGGUGCGAAAGCAGGUCAUAGUGAUCCGGUGGUUCUGAAUGGAAGGGCCAUCGCUCAACGGAUAAAAGGUACUCCGGGGAUAACAGGCUGAUACCGCCCAAGAGUUCAUAUCGACGGCGGUGUUUGGCACCUCGAUGUCGGCUCAUCACAUCCUGGGGCUGAAGUAGGUCCCAAGGGUAUGGCUGUUCGCCAUUUAAAGUGGUACGCGAGCUGGGUUUAGAACGUCGUGAGACAGUUCGGUCCCUAUCUGCCGUGGGCGCUGGAGAACUGAGGGGGGCUGCUCCUAGUACGAGAGGACCGGAGUGGACGCAUCACUGGUGUUCGGGUUGUCAUGCCAAUGGCACUGCCCGGUAGCUAAAUGCGGAAGAGAUAAGUGCUGAAAGCAUCUAAGCACGAAACUUGCC
rnacentral:rRNA from 1 species